UACGGAGGGGGCUAGCGUUGUUCGGAAUUACUGGGCGUAAAGCGCGCGUAGGCGGACCUGCAAGUCGGGGGUGAAAGCCCGAGGCUCAACCUCGGAACUGCCUUCGAUACUGCGGGUCUCGAGUCCGGGAGAGGGGGGUGGAAUUCCCAGUGUAGCGGUGAAAUGCGUAGAUAUUGGGAGGAACACCGGUGGCGAAGGCGGCCCCCUGGACCGGUACUGACGCUGAGGCGCGAAAGCGUGGGUAGCAAACGGG
rnacentral:rRNA from 1 species